rnacentral:rRNA from 1 species
AAAAGAAAAAGGUACUCCUGGGAUAACAGCGUAGUUUAUUUAAAAUAGGCGCGACCUCGAUGUUGAAUUAAUUUUUAAAACAAAAAUAAUUUGAAGAAAAAAAGUCUGUUCGACUUUUUAUAUUACGUGAUUUGAGUUUAAGACGGUGAAAACUAGUCUGGUUUCAAUGGUUUUAAAGGGGUCUUGCAACCGGUACGAAAGGACAG